rnacentral:rRNA from 5 species
AAACUUUCAACAACGGAUCUCUUGGCUCUGGCAUCGAUGAAGAACGCAGCGAAAUGCGAUACGUAAUGUGAAUUGCAGAAUUUAGUGAAUCAUCGAAUCUUUGAACGCACAUUGCGCCCCUUGGUAUUCCGAGGGGCAUGCCUGUUCGAGCGUC